GGGUCAGUAGGUUGGUCGUGCCACCGGUACGUACUGGUCUCACUGAUUCCUCCUUCCUGAAGAACCGUAAUGCCAUUAAUUUGGUGUUGCGGGGAAACAGGACUGUUACUUUGAAAAAAUUAGAGUGUUUAAAGCAAGCUAACGCUUGAAUACAUUAGCAUGGAAUAAUGUAAUAGGACGAUCGACCCUAUUUUGUUGGUUUCUAGGAUUGACGUA
rnacentral:rRNA from 1 species